rnacentral:lncRNA from 1 species
CCCGUUUUUUUUCUAUUAAAAACAAAAGGACAAAGGGAAAAAAGUAAAUUCAUGAUAUACACCUACAUUGUUAGUAGUACCAUAGACAACUAAAGACUGAAUAACACGAACCCCACCAAAACCAGGGAAUAAUCUCAGGUGCUCUGUAAGGACAAGCAGAUCCUGCUUCACAUGUGAAUUAUCCGAACUGCAGCUGUAUGGAUUUGUUUACCAGUGCUCAAUCUAAUUUUUCAUUAAUAAGUUUAGUCUUCCUUUAUAUGUUAUAAUGUCAAUAAUGAAAAAUAAUAAAGCGUCCAAUAGAAAAAAAAAAUAGAAAUUACUGUAAGGCACUUCUAGAAUUUAUCUUUCUAUUUUUCUAAGUUCUUUCUUUGUGCAAUAAACUAAAAUAUUGUUGAUAUUACAGAAAUUGGUGUUUUGUUGUUUGAAACCCUUUCAGCAGCAAUUCUCUAAUUCGGGGCGGUCAUUUUUUUUAUUGGUUGAGGACGCGGGCGUGCGAACAGAGAAUCACCGAUCGUUUGCAGAAGAAUAUGACAAUUAUUUUCAGUUUUGAUUGACGUCGAGCACACUGGCCACAUGCAGGAUUUGAACUCAUAAUACCAGUGUUGACAUGCUAGUGGUACAACAUUUCGAAUUCAUAGACCAGUGAAUACCGAGUUCCCUAUGUGUCGUGUAGAGAAAUAUAUAUUAUUUUGAAGUUAUCAAAGGUACCAGAAUU